UCCGUAGGUGAACCUGCGGAAGGAUCAUUAUUUAAACAAAGAGUGCACUUUAUUGUGGCUCAAAUAUUUUAUAAUUUUAACCCCAAAACACUUGUUUGUGUGACAUUCAUGUCAUUGCAUUCAGGUAAAAGUAACAUUUAAUUUGUUACAUUAUCCCCCCCUCAAUUUUUUUAUGACUUAUAUUUUAAUAAACACAUGUUUUCAGGAAGAAUGUAAAUUGAUUAUUUUAAAAAGAAAUAACUUUUAACAAUGGAUCUCUAGGCUCUCAUAUCGAUGAAGAACACAGUGAAAUGUGAUAAGUAAUGUGAAUUGCAGAAUUCAGUGAAUCAUUGAAUCUUUGAACGCACCUUGCACCUUUUGGAUAUUCCAAAAGGUACACCUGUUUGAGUGUCAUGAAAGUCUCUCAUCAAAUUUAUUUUUGGUGGAUAUUGAGUGUUGCUGCUAUCUAGCUCACUUUAAAUAUAUAAGUUGCUUCAUCAAUGUGCUGGAUUGACUUGGUGUAAUAUUAAUGUUUUUCAUCAAGGAAAGUAGUGAUACUUGCCAGCAAAUUUGUAUCUAGUACUUCUAAAUUGAACAUAGUUCAUUUAUUAAUUUUUAAGACCUCAAAUCAGGUGGGACUACCUGCUGAACUUAAGCAUAUCAAUAAGCGGAGGA
rnacentral:rRNA from 1 species